rnacentral:rRNA from 1 species
AAUAUUGGACAAUGGGCGAAAGCCUGAUCCAGCCAUGCCGCGUGUGUGAAGAAGGUCUUCGGAUUGUAAAGCACUUUAAGUUGGGAGGAAGUGCAGGAAGUUAAUACCUUGCUUUUUGGACGUUAUCGACAGCAUAAGUACCGUCUUACUUCGUGCCAGCAGCCGCGGUAAUACGACGGUAGCAAGAGUUAAUCGGAAUUACUUGGCGUAAAGCAGGGGUAGGUGGUUCGUUAAGUUGGAAGUGAAAGCCCCGGGCUUAACCUGGGAAUUGCUUUCAAAACUGACGAGCUAGAGUACGGUAGAGGGUAGUGGAAUUUCCUGUGUAGCGGUGAAAUGCGUAGAUAUAGGAAGGAACAUCAGUGGCGAAGGCGACUACCUGGACUGAUACUGACACUGAGGUGCGAAAGCGUGGGGAGCAAACAGG